AUACGAAGGGUGCAAGCGUUGUUCGGAUUUAUUGGGCGUAAAGCGCGCGUAGGCGGACCUGCAAGUCAGAUGUGAAAUCUCGGGGCUCAACCCCGAAACUGCGUCUGAAACUACAGGUCUAGAAUCUUGGAGGGGGAAGGGGAAUUUCGCAUGUAGGGGUAAAAUCCGUAGAUAUGCGAAGGAACACCAGAGGCGAAGGCGCCUUCCUGGACAAGUAUUGACGCUGAGGCGCGAAAGCGUGGGGAUCAAACAGGAUUAGAUACCCUGGUAGUCCACGCUGUAAACGAUGAACACUAGGUAUUGGAGGAUUUGACCCCUUCAGUGCCGUAGCUAACGCGUUAAGUGUUCCGCCUGGGAAGUACGGUCGCAAGACUAAA
rnacentral:rRNA from 1 species